rnacentral:rRNA from 1 species
GUCUAUGGCUAUGCCACCGUGAACAAGCCCAAUCUGAUCUUGGAAGCUAAGCAGGAUCAGGGCUAGUUAGUACUUGAAUGGGAGACCGCCUAGGAAGACCAGGUACUGUAGGCA